GUGCUCACUUUGCCAGCACAUGUUACUAAAAUUGAAAUGAUACAGAAGUUAGCAUGGCCUCUGAGCAAGGAUGACGUGCAAAUUCAUGAAGUGUCCCAUAUUGAA